rnacentral:rRNA from 1 species
AACGUAGGUGGCGAGCGUUAUCCGGAAUACUGGCGUAAGGCGUGACUGCAGGCGGGCUGGACAAGAUGGUGUAUGAAAUCUUCCGGCUUAACCGGGAGCGGUUAUGCCAGACUGUCAGUCUUGAGUGCGAGAGAGGAGCGUGGAAUUCCGGGUGUAGUGGUGAAAUGCGUAGAGAUCCGGAGGAACCCCAGAGGCGAAGGCGGCGCUCUGGCUCGCAACUGACGCUCAGACACGACAGCAUGGGGAGCGAACGGG